rnacentral:ncRNA from 1 species
CAGAGUAGCAUCUAAGCGUUAAGUGUUACACCAUGGGAAGUUGGGUGUAAACGAACUCAUCCUUGAGGCGAUUUAGAUGCGCGUCCGCUGC